rnacentral:rRNA from 1 species
UACGUAGGGGUCUAGCGUUGUCCGGAAUCAUUGGGCGUAAAGAGCUCGUAGGCGGUUCGGCAAGUCGGAUGUGAAAUCUCCACGCUCAACGUGGAGGGGCCAUUCGAAACUGCCGUGACUCGAGUCCGGUAGGGGAGUUCGGAAUUCCCGGUGUAGCGGUGAAAUGCGUAGAUAUCUGGAGGAACACCGGUGGCGAAGGCGGCGUCCUGGACCAACACUGACACUGAUGAGCGAAAGCCAGGGGAGCAAACGGG